rnacentral:rRNA from 1 species
UACGGGGGGGGCAAGCGUUGUUCGGAAUUACUGGGCGUAAAGGGUGCGUAGGCGGGUUGGUAAGUCCGUGGUGAAAUCUCCGAGCUUAACUCGGAAACUGCCGUGGAUACUAUCAAUCUUGAAUAUCGUGGAGGUAAGCGGAAUAUGUCAUGUAGCGGUGAAAUGCUUAGAUAUGACAUAGAACACCAAUUGCGUAGGCAGCUUACUACACGAUCAUUGACGCUGAGGCACGAAAGCGUGGGGAGCAAACAGG